rnacentral:lncRNA from 1 species
AAACGAGAGAAGGAAGAGGACCAAAAUAUAUAAAUGAAUCCCUACCACGACCUAGUAUAAAGAUCCACGUACACACCGAGUUACAACAACAACAACAACAUGCCCAGCAUAAUCCCACAAGUGGAAUCACGAGAAGGUAGGUUCUACGCCGACCUUACCUCUACCAAUGUCGUGUAGAAAGGUUGUCCUCGAUAGACUCUCGACUCAAAAACAAGAAAUAUUUUUGAUUCGGACUAAUUAUUAUAUAUAGGAUAAAGAUCCAUCCACACACACCAAGUUACAACAACAAGAAGCCCAGCAUAAUCCCACAAAUGGAAUCACGAGAAGUUAGGUUCUACGCCGACCUUACCUCUACCUUUGUAGCAUAGAUAGGCUGUUCUCAAUAGACCCUCGGCGAAAUAUUUUUGACUCAAACUAAUUAUUCUCCAUCUGACCAUUUAUUCAUUAGGACUAAUUCUAAGUUAUGAUGAACAAAAA